CCCUCACAACGGCUCUAGCCGCACUCCCCUCACCCGUUCGAUCGAGAGCCCUAGCCGUUAUCCCCGAUUCAGUCCUUUGAGACGAAGCCCUAGCCUCUCCUCUCUAGCUCACGAGACCGAGAACUUCUCCUUUCUUCUCCUCCUUUCGCGACCUCACGUUCCUCCCCGCCGGCGAGGUCCUUCUUCUCUUCGUCUUGCGGGAGAGCCGGUUAGGGGGGCAAAGAAGGAUAUGUGGGGCACGAGGAAGGAGGGCAACUCACCGAGGCGGUGCGGAGGAGAUCAUAUGGUCUGAUGCUCUUUGAUGUAGUGGAGAAGACACAUGUCUAUCUUCAACACUUUGCUUCAAGUGUUCAAUGAUAGUCGACUCACAUAUUGUCAAGGAAAGACUGUGGAUUUCUGUAACACGGUCAUUAUCAUUAAUUCAAACUUUGGUGCUGAGCAUCUUCUCGCUGACAUGUUUAGCAAUUGUUCAAUGAAAAUGACCAAUGAUCGUGUGAUGAAUGAUGUAUAUAUUUGCAUA